GGAGAGGUGUCCGAGAGGCCGAAGGAGCACGCUUGGAAAGCGUGUGUGGGGGCAACUCCACCGCGGGUUCGAAUCCCGCCCUCUCCGCCA
rnacentral:tRNA from 2 species